UCCGGUAGCUCAGUUGGAUAGAGCAUCAGCCUUCUAACCUGCCUGCCGGCAGGCAGGGCUGAGGGUCACCGGUUCGAAUCCAAUCCGGA
rnacentral:tRNA from 1 species